GGCGGCGAACCGCGGAAGCUUGCGGUUGUCGCGGCGCGCCGUGGGCUGUACCGCCGGCGGUGGCAGCGAGAAGGCCGAGGGCAUUUCCGCCCAAAAGGAAAGCGGAGGGCAAACGGUGAAAAAAAAGAGAGAGAGGAGCGAUAGCAGUGCCUUGGCGGCUAAUCCUAUGCAGGUUUCUCUCCAUGUCCACAAUCGAAGCAACUGAGCAAGGAAAUUUGCUGAAUCUUUUACAAAGUUUGGCAAGAUUUCAAACUCUCAUUUGAAUUUUGUCCAAAUACAUUAGCUGUGGAAGAUUGACAGGGUGCCACUGAAGACUUGCCAUUUCUUCCAUUCUCCAAGAGAUGUGUACUGCCGCUGGGCCUGAAUCGAGCUUGUUUUUUUUUUUCAUUAGGCCAACGACAGUUAAAAUUUGAGCGGAAGAUCCAUAAAAUCGCAUGCAUUUUGAAGACUGGAACUCGUCAGUCUCAUGCGAGGCAAUGCGUAUCCAGCUCUGGAAGAGUCGCUAAAGAUAUCUUCGUUGUGCGUUUCGCCCGUUUCGACAUUUUGAUUGGGACCUUUCUCCAGUCAGGGGUUCUUGUUAUAUCCUUUAUUCUAGAACAGUCUGAAUUUAUCUUUGACAUAUGAAUGAGGUCAUUGAUGAAA